rnacentral:rRNA from 1 species
CGAACGCUGGCUUCAGGCUUAACAGAAGCAAGUCGAGCGCCGUAGCAAUACGGAGCGGCAGACGGGAUAUGUCCCACGUGGGAACGCGCCCUUCGGUUCGGAAUAACUCAGGGAAACUUGGGCUAAUACCGGAUACGCCCUUACGGGGAAAGAUUUAUUGCCGAAGGAACGGCCCGCGCCCGAUUAGCUUGUUGGUGAGGUAACGGAGUCACCAAGGCGACGAUCGGUAGCUGGUCUGAGAGGAUGACCAGCCUCACUGGGACUGAGACACGGCCCAGACUCCUACGGGAGGCAGCAGUGGG